GAUGAAGAACUUAGCGAAAUGCGAUAAGUAGUGUGAAUUGCAGAAUUCCGUGAAUCAUCGAAUCUUUGAACGCACAUUGCGCCUUCUGGUAUUCCGGAAGGCAUGCCUGUUCGAGAGUCAUUAACAACCGUUUCGAUCCCUUUCUUUCAGAAAUUACAAAGAGGAAAAGGGUUUGGUUAUGGUGGAGGAGGGAAAGGGAGCGUUUAGCCUGUAAAAAAAGAGGCUGUGUUCCGCCUCCCCCCCAAAAUUGUACAGGCGGUCGUGUGCGCCCACGCAUCGAGGUGUUGUAAAAGCUGCCACGGCACUUUUCACCUGUGCAGUGCGAGAUUGGCCAGCCGGUUUAAAAACCCCUCCAAACAAUCAAAGGUUGACCUCGGAUCAGGUAGGGAUACCCGCUGAUCUUAAGCAUAUCAAUAAGCGGAGGA
rnacentral:misc_RNA from 1 species